UUUUUUUUUUAUUUAUAUAUAAGAAUUAACUUAUUUUUUAGUAUAUUUUAUAGAAUUAAUUUUUUUAUUUAUAGUUUAUUUUACUGUAAAGGUUAUUUUAUUUUUUGAAAAGCAUAAUUGAUUUUUUUUACCUUUUGUAUCAGGGUUUAUUAAUUAUAAAUAUAUAUAUAUAUUUCCCGAAAUAAGAAGAUUUAAAAGAAUAUGUUUUUUAUUGUCUCAACAAUAUAUAUAAUAUUUUUUUAGUUGUGAUAUGCUAUUCAUUUUUUUAUAUCUGGUUACUUGAGAAUUAAAUUUAAUUUAUUUAUUUGAAGUUUAUUUUAAUUUUAUUAUAUUAAAUUUCUUAUAAAACAAUUUAAGGGGAUAAUCUCUUAAUUUAAAUAUAAUAUUUAUUUUAUAAUUAUUAGUAGGUUUAAUAACAUCUAUCUUUAUUUCGUUAUAGUUAUUUUUUAUUUUUUUUUGAUUUUUUAUUAUUUAUUUUUUUAUUAAGUAUAAAAUUUUAAUUUAUUUAAUUUUGGUAUAAUGAUAAAAUUAGUAAUUUUUUUAAUUUAAUUAUAAUAACUCGGCAAAUUUAGUUUUCACCUGUUUAACAAAAACAUGUUCUAUUGAUUUAUGAUUUUAGAUUUGGCCUGCUCUAUGAAUUUUAAAUGGCUGCGGUAUUUUAACUGUACUAAGGUAGCAUAAUAAUUUGUCUUUUAAUUGGAGGCUAGAAUGAAUGGUUUGAUGAGAAACUAGCUUUUUUUAAUUAAUAAUUUGAAUUUGAUUUUUAAAUCAAAAAGUUUAAAUUUUUAUAUAGGACGAGAAGACCCUAUAGAAUUUUAUUAAAUUUAUUUUAUUAUAUUUUUGUUUUAUUUAUUUUUAAUUUUUAUAAAUUUAAUUUUGUUGGGGUGAUGUAAAAAUUAUUUUGACUUUUUAUUUAUUUUACAUAAAUUAGUGUUUUUUUGAUCCUAAAUUUUAGAUUAUAAGAUUAAAUUACCUUAGGGAUAACAGCGUAAUUUAUUUGGAGAGUUCAUAUCGAUAAAUAAGUUUGCGACCUCGAUGUUGAAUUAAGAUUAAUUUUUGGUGUAGAAGCUAAAUUUAUUAGGUUUGUUCAACCUUUAAAUUCUUACAUGAUUUGAGUUCAAACCGGCGUGAGCCAGGUUGGUUUCUAUCCUUAUUUUUUAUAUUCUAGUACGAAAGGACCGAUUAUAAUAAUUAUAAUUAUAUUUUUUGAUUAAAAUUAAAAAAAAAAAA
rnacentral:rRNA from 1 species